UUUUGUUUUUUAAAGAUUUUAUUUAUUUAUUCAUGACAGACACAGAGAGAGAGAGGCAGAGACACAGGCAGAAGCAGGUUCCACACAGGGAGCCCGAUGUGGGACUCGAUCCUGGAUCCCAGGGCCAGGUCCUGUGGCCAAACUGGUUUAUAACAAAGACCACUGCAGCGCGAGGGAGAAAAGGCGGCCUUCGGAUGGGUUUCUCACUCAAGGUGCCGUAUCGGUUGGAUUUGAUGGGGGAAAAUGACCCUUGAUCCCUGCAUCACGCCAUAUACGAAGAUUAAUUAAAAAUGGAUCACGGACCACAAUGUGCAAAGCAAAACCAAAAAAGCUUCUGGAAUAAAAAUGAGACUCCCUUCAAGACACUGUCACUGGCAAAGACUUCUUACAUAGGACAUAGAAGGUGCUCACCAUGAAAGAUUGGACGUCAUUAAAUUUAAGAAUGUGGGGGAUCUCUGGGUGGCUCAGGGGUUGAGCGUCUGCCUUCUGCCCAGGGCAUGAUCCUGGGGUCCCAGGAUUGAGUCCCCCAUCAGGCUUCCUGCAGGGAGCCUGCUUCUCCCUCUGCCUCUCUGGGUGUCUCUCAGGAAUGAAUAAAAUCUUUAAUAAAUAAAUAAAUAAAUUUAAGAAUGUGGGCUCAUCGAGGUGCCAUUGAGAGAGAGAGGGUAGGCCACAACCGGAGACAAUGUCCACGCCAUACAUUUGUGUAUCUUUUUUUUUUUUAAAGACUAUAUUUUUAAGUAAUCUCUAUGCCCAACAUGGGACUUGAACGCAGAACCCCGAGAUCCAAGCGUUGCACACUCUACGGACGGAGCCAGCCAGGGGGCCCCCGUGUCUGAACACAGACACCCACCCAGCCAAGGAGUCCUAUCCAGAACAUAUAAAGAACACCCACAAAGGUAUAGGAAAGAGAUAAACCAAACAUUUUUUGUGGGGUCAGACCCUGGAACGGGCUGUCCGCAGGCCUCUAGGCUCUGGGGGGCCGCGUGCGGAUGUAGAAUCCGUCAGCCUCAUUAAUCACCGGGGAAACAAAGAUCUAAACUGUGACGACGCCAAUGACGUGCAUCCCAUGGCCACCGGGAAAGCUCGAGGUAAGGAGCCCGGCUGCAAUCGGUGUCCUCGGGGCUGCGGACCUGCCGGUCGAUCAGGCGGGCCGUUCCUGUCCCACGGAGCCGGUGUUAGCAUCCCACCCUGUCACAGUUCUGGAGGCUGCAGGUGUGAACUCAGGGCGUCGGCAGGGCCUGUCCCUCGGUCCGUGAGUCCCCCCCGACUCCCUCCCAGCUUCUGGUGGUUGUGACAACCUGCGCCACCCUUUGGCUCACGGUCACAUCACUCCAGUCUCCGCUCCUGUCACCACGUGACCUCUCCUGCAUCUCUGCGCCUCCCCCUCCCCCUGCCCCACUCGGAUGAGGACACUCGUCACCGGUUUUACGGCCCACCCUCAUCAGGGUAGUCUCACCUCAAGAUCACUAACUACACCUUCUCCCAAUUAAAGGCACGUUCAGAGCACGUGGUAGAUGCGUCCUGCGCUGGGGCCACGUUGCUCAGCGAGGCCCAGGCUGGAAACAACCCAAAUGCCCAUCAGUAGGAGAACGGAUAAACAAAUUGUGGUUUCUCCCCUUGAUGGAAUGUCACCGGGUCGUGAAGAGGAACUGCUGACACGCGCAGCCCCGCGGGGGGGACUCACAGGAGCGACGCGGCCAGGAAGGAAGGUGAAGGCAGAGGCACACAGAGCGCAGCUGCGAGCCAGGGAGGUUGAAAACCCGGAGGCCCCAAGGGCCCCCCGGGGGGUGGGACAUCCGUGUUCACCGAGGUGCAGGGUCACAUGGAGACCAAAGCCCCCAGUACAGGUGCCGUCCCCUGAUCCGAACAGGAGCGCCCCCCAGACCCCGGGCGGCAGGGAGGCCUGCUGGCCAGCGGUGCCCACCUCUGGGUCUGAGCAGGGGCGGGGUGGGUGCUGUCAGGGUUCGGGGGAGUCAGCGGCAACGCCCUUGGAAGCAUCGGAGCCGCCGGUGUGAGUGCCCGCCUCGCAGGUGUGUGCGGAGCGUGCCCGGGGGCCAGGGCCAGGGCGGAGUCAAGGCGGGAGGCCAGAGUGCCUGCGUGAACACGUGUGCUCGCAUGUGCAUGUGCGUGAACACACGAACGGGAAGUGAACGUUGGGGAGGGCAAGGGCUGUGGCUACCAGAAAGCUUUCCCUGGGGCACUCCGGGGGCUCAGCGUCGGAGCAUCUGCCCUUAGCUCAGGGCGUGACCCCAGGGUCCUGGGAUCGAGUCCCACGUCGAGCUCCCCGCAGGGAGCCUGCUUCUCCCUCUGCCUGGGUCUCUGUCUCUCUCUGUGUCUCUCAUGAAUAAAUAUAAUCUUUAAAAAAAAAAAAAAAGGAAAAAAACAAGCAAGCUUUCCCUUCUGCGUGCGUGGCUCACAGCAGCGCGUGGGGUGGCGCUGCCCUGGGAGAUGCGUCAGGAAGGAACGGCCCGUCUCCAGAGAGAAAGUCAACUGCCGCCUAAACCCAGUUAAUUGCCCCAGAUUCCAACCUGGUGACCUCCAAAUUCAACCAAGCAUCACAGUGACUGAGACCCCCCCACCUGUCAGAGCAGGGCUGGGGAUCCCCGUCCUCCCCCGACCUCCCCCGACCUCCCGUGACCCACUGGGGUCGCUCCCUCCGCUCAGUGCCGCUGCCGUCCUGUGGGCCCUACCGGGGAGGAGCUCACCUUCUGCCCAGCAUCCAAGGAGCCGGCCUGCCCAGGGCCCACGGGUGGUUGGCGUCCUGGGGCUGCCAUGCAAGUGACCACGCACCAGGUGCUUACUGUGGCACAAACAUACCCUCUCAGCCCCGGAGGCCAGAGGUCCAGGAUGCAGGUGUGGGCAGGGCCGCACUCCCUCAAGGGCUCCAGGGGCACAUCGUUCCUCCCAUCCUCCCCUUUUUGGGGC
rnacentral:lncRNA from 1 species